AGAGUUUGAUCCUGGCUCAGGACGAACGCUGGCGGCGUGCCUAACACAUGCAAGCCAAAGGAAAGUAGCAAUAUGAGUACUUGGCGUAAGGGUGCGUAAUGUAUAGGUUAUCUGCCCUUUGGUCUGGGAUAACUCAUCGAAAGAUGAGAUAAAACCAGAUGAUGAGGAAACUCCAAAGGAAACGCCAAAGGAUGAGCCUAUAUCCCAUCAGGUAGUUGGUAGGGUAAUGGCCUACCAAGCCUACGACGGGUAGCUGGUCUGAGAGGAUGAUCAGCCACACUGGAACUGAGACACGGUCCAGACAUCUACGGAUGGCAGCAGUGAGGAAUAUUGCUCAAUGGGUGAAAGCCUGAAGCAGCAACGCCGCGUGGGCGAUGAAGGUCUUCGGAUUGUAAAGCCCUUUUGCAGGGGACGAACAUCUCGCUCGGCGAGACUGACGGUACCCUGCGAAUAAGCCACGGCUAACUCUGUGCCAGCAGCCGCGGUGAUACAGAGGUGGCGAGCGUUGUCCGGAUUUACUGGGUGUAAAGGGUGCGUAGGCGGAUCUGCAAGUCGAGGGUUAAAGACCUUCGCUUAACGAAGGGAAUGCUCUCGAUACUGCGGGUCUAGAGUGCCGAAGAGGAGGCUGGAAUUUCCGGUGUAGCGGUGGAAUGUGCAGAGAUCGGAAAGAACACCAGUGGCGAAGGCAGGUCUCUGGUCGGUAACUGACGCUGAUGCACGAAAGCGUGGGGAGCAAACAGGAUUAGAUACCCUGUAGUCCACGCCCUAACGAUGGAUGCUAGAUGUGGUCUUCGGUCAGUGUCGCAGCUAACGCAGUAAGCAUCCCACCUGGGAAGUACGACCGGCAAGGUU
rnacentral:rRNA from 1 species